GAUGAAGGAACGUAGCGAAAUGCGAUAAGUAAUGCGAAUUGCAGAAUUUCCGUGAGUCAUCGAAUCUUUGAACGCACAUUGCGCCCGCCAGUAUUCUGGCGGGCAUGCCUGUUCGAGCGUCAUUUCAACCAUCAAGCCCCAGGCUUGUGUUGGGGACCUGCGGCUGCCGCAGGCCCUGAAAACCAGUGGCGGGCUCGCUAGUCACACCGAGCGUAGUAGCAUACACAUCGCUCAGGGCGUGCUGCGGGUUCCGGCCGUUAAACCCCUUUUUUACCCAAGGUUGACCUCGGAUCAGGUAGGAAGACCCGCUGAACUUAAGCAUAUCAAUAAGCGGAGGA
rnacentral:misc_RNA from 1 species